ACAGACAUGAGAGCCCCUACUCAGCUCCUGGGGUUGCUGCUUCUCUGGCUCCCAGGAGCCAAAUGUGAUGUUCAGAUGACCCAGUCUCCAGCCUCCUUGUCUGCAUCUGUGGGAGAAAGUGUCACCAUGACAUGCCGGGCAAGUCAGGACAUUGAUAGUUAUUUAGCAUGGUAUCAGCAGAAACCAGGGAAAUCUCCCAAGCUCCUGAUCUAUGAUGCAAACAUCUUGGCAGAUGGGGUUCCAUCGAGGUUCAGUGGCAGUGGAUCUGGCACACAGUAUUCUCUCAAGAUCAGCAGCCUGCAGGCUGAAGACAUUGCAACUUAUUACUGCCAACACUAUUACGGUACUCCUCCCACAGUGAUUCAUACCAUGACACAAACCAUCAGGGAAGCAGAAGUGAGAGUCCAGGCUGUCUUGAUUGCUACUUCUGCUGUUUCUAGCUUCUAUGUGGUCUCAUCGAGGUUCAAUGGCAGUGGGUCUGGCACACAGUAUUCUCUCAUGAUCAGCAGCCUGCAGCCGGAAGAUGUAGCAACUUAUUACUGCCCAAAGAAUAAUAGUUUCCUUCCCACAGUGAUUCAAGUCAUAACCUAA